GCGAGGGCCUUUCCUUUUUCCUGGCGUCGCGUGCGUGGCUCGCGUCCUCCGGCCUGUCGCUCUGCGCACGUACUCUCCGAGCUCACUUCUAACGGCUCGCAGUUUCUGGGGCUGCGGUGCAGGGCUGCGGCAUGCUGAGUGCGGCCUGGAGAAUCCGUGCUUGCCCACCUGGUGGGGCCCGGGUCGCGGAGGCCCUGUCGGCCGCGUGCGCGGUGAGAGGGCCCGGGGCGGCGCCCUUCCCCCGCCUCGGCUGGCGCGGCCCCGGGCUGCGCUCUGCUCAGUGUGCCACGUGAUGCUGGCAGACGUGGGGCGGUGAGGACCCCGGCGGCAUCCUCGGGCUGCCUGACCGGGUUUCUGAAGAGCCCAGCUUGCUGGCUUCUGGAGCAGUGCCUUUUUUAGACUAAGGUCUACGCUACAGAGGAUCUGCAGGGCUGGAUGACUACUGAAGGGACACGAAGUCUGCAUAGCUCCACGCAGUGGCCAAACUGCAGCCAUCACUCAGGAAAACCAACAGAGGGAUGAAGUAGGCUGGCAUGCAGCCUAAAAUUGAUGAGGUUUGUGAACCAGAAGACCACGCCUUCGCCAUACCCGUGGGACCUCAUGCCCCUACCUGGCCACACCUGUGUGCCCAUCACCAGUCAAGUUAAUUAACCACCUUUGGAAGUGGGUUAAAAGCUUGGGUGUGUCUGUCCUGCCCUGUUUCCUAGCCUCUUGCCAGGAGGGGGCUGUGCCACCCACCCUAGGCUCCCUGGUGCUCUGUAUGAACCCCUCUCUCAAAUCCUAUGCAUCUUUUGCACUAAAUAAAUGCCUAAAAUGUA